AUGGUCAUACCAUAUUGAAAACACCGGUUCUCGUCCGAUCAUAGAAGUUAAGCAAUGUAAGGCUUGGUCAGUAUUUGGGAGGGUGACCACCUGGGAACAACCGGAUGCUGUAGACC
rnacentral:rRNA from 1 species